rnacentral:rRNA from 1 species
AUUGAACGCUGGCGGCAGGCCUAACACAUGCAAGUCGAACGAGUGGCGGACGGGUGAGUAAUGUAUGGGCCUCUUCCCGAGGGAGGGGGAUAACUACUGGAAACGGUAGCUAAUACCGCAUACCAUCGGAUGUGCCCGGGUGGGUUUAGCGAGUGGGGGGGGUAACGGCUCACCUAGGCGACGAUCCCUAGCUGGUCUGAGAGGAUGACCAGCCACACUGGAACUGAGACACGGCCCAGACUCCUACGGGAGGCAGCAGUGGGGAAUAUUGCACAAUGGGCGCAAGCCUGAUGCAGCCAUGCCGCGUGUAUGAAGAAGGCCUUCGGGUUGUAAAGUACUUUCAGCGGGGAGGCGUUACUCGCAGAAGAAGCACCGGCUAACUCCGUGCCAGCAGCCGCGGUAAUUC